AGGACACAGACCAGAGCUUUUCAACGUGGCACAGGAAUAGCCUGGCAAAAGCCAAGCCAACUAGCCGAUGCUCAUCAGUGGGCAUAAGGGUCAGCCCUGGUCAGCUGAGGCCCCGCCCUGCACUAGCCACGGCACUUCUUCUCAUCUGCAUCUCUCUACUCCCUUGCCUCUGGAAGUUGAUCUCCAGGAGCAGAGGGACCUUGUCUCUCUUUUGAUGGGUCGUGAGGAUUCUGACCUCUGAAGUGCUCUGUGCGCUUACACAUCUCAGUUUCCCGAAGUGGCGAGGAGGGAACUCAGUCCUCUCCUGAACUUGUAGAACACUGGACCACGGAGAAAACUGCAACCUGGGGUGAAUGAUUUGCUCUAGUUCACAGGGACACCAGGGUCUGCGGUGGGACCACACCUUUGUCUUUAGACUCCGUUCAAAUCUCCAAACCCAUGCUCGGGACUGAAUUACGGUUUUCCUGAGGCCUAAGCAACAGUUGCCUUUGUGGGUCUCCUCUCC
rnacentral:lncRNA from 1 species